GUCUAUGGCAGAACCACCCUGAAUGCGCCCCAUCUUGUCUGAUUUCGGAAGCUAAGCAGGGUCGGGCCUGGUUAGUACUUGGAUGGGAGACCACCUGGGAAUAUCGGGUGCUGUAGGCU
rnacentral:rRNA from 1 species